UACAUAUGAUGUUUAUUCUCACGAUGGUCUUCCAAGUCUUCGAGACUCUGACGACAUCGCCUUAUGGCAUAACUGAUGUAGCUUU